AAAUUCAUUUCUAGGCUAUGGAAUUGUGUCUUUGAGCCGUUAUUGAUAAUAUUGAUCUAAAUUAUGCUUAGAUAUCAUUGUUUCGUAGUUGGAUUCUAGAGGAAAGGCGGUGUUAGAGAUUUGAUUGCUAUUUUCGGACCGAGGUAAGUGUUUGUUCUAACCUUGGCUUGAGGGAAUAGGAUUAGGAUAUUAUUUGUAAUGUGCUAAAUGUGGAGUACGGUGUAUAGGCAUGGUGACAGUUAUCUAUGCACCGGAGUCUAACAUGACCGUGAGGCUUAAUUGUGUUUGUAUUCAAAUUUUGUGGAACAUAUUCCUUGUUUAAAUGAUAAGUUCUAUGUAAUGUGGUUGGUUGAGGAAGAUUUACAAUUGGUACAUCAUUGGAGCGUGAGCUCGAACUAGAAUUCGCUAAUCGAGAAAGAAAUGAUUAUAAGAGGGAAAGUUGUAUUUAUUCCCUUGCCCAUGUGUAGUUAUUGGUUGUUUCCUUGCCGAGAUGUUCUUUUUUAUAUUGUUGGUUGAUAUUGUUCCCUUGCUGGGAUCUGUUUGCUUGAUGGUACCCCCUUGUCUGGACUUCUCUCACUAUAAGUUUAUUUCCUUGUCUUAUCUGUGACAACUGUUUGAGUGACAACUGUUUGAGUGAGGAAGAGUAAUAUUUGAGGAUCAGGUUGCACGCCGCAAUGGAUAGAUAUAUUUGAGGAUCGGGUUGCUCGCCGCAACGGAUAUAUUUGAGGAUCGGGUUGCUCGCCGCAACAGAUAUAUUUGAUGAUCGGGCUGCUCGCCGCAACGGAUAUAUUUGCGGAACGGGAUGCGCGCCGCAACAGAGUAUGAAUCAAGUAUAUUAUAUUUUUUGCAUGUAGGGAUUUCCUGCAUUUUUCCUUAUCAGUUGUUGUUGUACAGCUUUACUUCUUAUCCAACGAAUUCUAUAUUUAAACUGCCAUACCCACAGCAUGCUCCCCUCCCUAUUAGUUGUUUAAAUUCGUGUACUUCCUGUUAUUGCACAUAUAUCUGUACAAGUCAUUGUGGUAGGUCCUGUCUAGCCUCGUCACUACUUCACCAGGUUUAGGCCAGGCACUUAGCAGCAUAUGGGGCCGGUUGUGCUGAUACUACACUCUGUACAUCUUUUUGCACCGAUCCAGGAGGAGCUGUUGGACCUCAGUAGCAGUAUUUGCUCGUGCGCCGACUUCGGUCCAGGGAUUUCCGAGGUAGCUUAACUAGCGUCUGCGGGCCGGGGUCCCUUCUAUAUUAUUAGUUUGUUUCCCUUGUACCGAGACAGACUCUUCUAUGUAUUUCUUUCAGACUCUUGUUUUAGUAUUCCGUAGCAGUUCGUGAGUAGUGACGCCAUAUACUGGAUAGAAGUGUAUUUUGAAAUUUUUGUAUUUCCGCUUUAAGUUAUUUUAGCAUGUAAGUCUUCCGAUUUAAUUAUUAUUCUAGUUUAUUA
rnacentral:lncRNA from 1 species